GGUCAAGUGAAGAAGCGCAUACGGUGGAUGCCUUGGCAGUCAGAGGCGAUGAAAGACGUGGUAGCCUGCGAAAAGCUUCGGGGAGUCGGCAAACAGACUUUGAUCCGGAGAUCUCUGAAUGGGGGAACCCACCUAGGAUAACCUAGGUAUCUUGUACUGAAUCCAUAGGUGCAAGAGGCGAACCAGGGGAACUGAAACAUCUAAGUACCCUGAGGAAAAGAAAUCAACCGAGAUUCCCUUAGUAGUGGCGAGCGAACGGGGAUUAGCCCUUAAGCUUCAUUGAUUUUAGCGGAACGCUCUGGAAAGUGCGGCCAUAGUGGGUGAUAGCCCCGUACGCGAAAGGAUCUUUGAAGUGAAAUCGAGUAGGACGGAGCACGAGAAACUUUGUCUGAACAUGGGGGGACCAUCCUCCAAGGCUAAAUACUACUGACUGACCGAUAGUGAACCAGUACCGUGAGGGAAAGGCGAAAAGAACCCCGGAGAGGGGAGUGAAAUAGAACCUGAAACCGUAUGCGUACAAGCAGUGGGAGCCUACUUGUUAGGUGACUGCGUACCUUUUGUAUAAUGGGUCAGCGACUUAUAUUCAGUGGCAAGCUUAACCGUAUAGGGUAGGCGUAGCGAAAGCGAGUCUUAAUAGGGCGUUUAGUCGCUGGGUAUAGACCCGAAACCGGGCGAUCUAUCCAUGAGCAGGUUGAAGGUUAGGUAACACUGACUGGAGGACCGAACCCACUCCCGUUGAAAAGGUAGGGGAUGACUUGUGGAUCGGAGUGAAAGGCUAAUCAAGCUCGGAGAUAGCUGGUUCUCCUCGAAAGCUAUUUAGGUAGCGCCUCAUGUAUCACUCUGGGGGGUAGAGCACUGUUUCGGCUAGGGGGUCAUCCCGACUUACCAAACCGAUGCAAACUCCGAAUACCCAGAAGUGCCGAGCAUGGGAGACACACGGCGGGUGCUAACGUCCGUCGUGAAAAGGGAAACAACCCAGACCGCCAGCUAAGGUCCCAAAGUUGUGGUUAAGUGGUAAACGAUGUGGGAAGGCUUAGACAGCUAGGAGGUUGGCUUAGAAGCAGCCAUCCUUUAAAGAAAGCGUAAUAGCUCACUAGUCGAGUCGGCCUGCGCGGAAGAUGUAACGGGGCUCAAACCACACACCGAAGCUGCGGGUGUCACGUAAGUGACGCGGUAGAGGAGCGUUCUGUAAGCCUGUGAAGGUGAGUUGAGAAGCUUGCUGGAGGUAUCAGAAGUGCGAAUGCUGACAUGAGUAACGACAAUGGGUGUGAAAAACACCCACGCCGAAAGACCAAGGGUUCCUGCGCAACGUUAAUCGACGCAGGGUUAGUCGGUUCCUAAGGCGAGGCUGAAAAGCGUAGUCGAUGGGAAACAGGUUAAUAUUCCUGUACUUCUGGUUACUGCGAUGGAGGGACGGAGAAGGCUAGGCCAGCUUGGCGUUGGUUGUCCAAGUUUAAGGUGGUAGGCUGAAAUCUUAGGUAAAUCCGGGGUUUCAAGGCCGAGAGCUGAUGACGAGUCGUCUUUUAGAUGACGAAGUGGUUGAUGCCAUGCUUCCAAGAAAAGCUUCUAAGCUUCAGGUAACCAGGAACCGUACCCCAAACCGACACAGGUGGUCGGGUAGAGAAUACCAAGGCGCUUGAGAGAACUCGGGUGAAGGAACUAGGCAAAAUGGCACCGUAACUUCGGGAGAAGGUGCGCCGGCUAGGGUGAAGGAUUUACUCCGUAAGCUCUGGCUGGUCGAAGAUACCAGGCCGCUGCGACUGUUUAUUAAAAACACAGCACUCUGCAAACACGAAAGUGGACGUAUAGGGUGUGACGCCUGCCCGGUGCCGGAAGGUUAAUUGAUGGGGUUAGCGCAAGCGAAGCUCUUGAUCGAAGCCCCGGUAAACGGCGGCCGUAACUAUAACGGUCCUAAGGUAGCGAAAUUCCUUGUCGGGUAAGUUCCGACCUGCACGAAUGGCGUAACGAUGGCGGCGCUGUCUCCACCCGAGACUCAGUGAAAUUGAAAUCGCUGUGAAGAUGCAGUGUAUCCGCGGCUAGACGGAAAGACCCCGUGAACCUUUACUGUAGCUUUGCACUGGACUUUGAGCCUGCUUGUGUAGGAUAGGUGGGAGGCUUUGAAAGCGUGACGCCAGUCGCGUGGAGCCAUCCUUGAAAUACCACCCUGGCAUGCUUGAGGUUCUAACUCUGGUCCGUGAUCCGGAUCGAGGACAGUGUAUGGUGGGCAGUUUGACUGGGGCGGUCUCCUCCUAAAGAGUAACGGAGGAGUACGAAGGUGCGCUCAGACCGGUCGGAAAUCGGUCGCAGAGUAUAAAGGCAAAAGCGCGCUUGACUGCGAGACAGACACGUCGAGCAGGUACGAAAGUAGGUCUUAGUGAUCCGGUGGUUCUGUAUGGAAGGGCCAUCGCUCAACGGAUAAAAGGUACUCCGGGGAUAACAGGCUGAUACCGCCCAAGAGUUCAUAUCGACGGCGGUGUUUGGCACCUCGAUGUCGGCUCAUCACAUCCUGGGGCUGAAGCCGGUCCCAAGGGUAUGGCUGUUCGCCAUUUAAAGUGGUACGCGAGCUGGGUUUAGAACGUCGUGAGACAGUUCGGUCCCUAUCUGCCGUGGACGUUUGAGAUUUGAGAGGGGCUGCUCCUAGUACGAGAGGACCGGAGUGGACGAACCUCUGGUGUUCCGGUUGUCACGCCAGUGGCAUUGCCGGGUAGCUAUGUUCGGAAAAGAUAACCGCUGAAAGCAUCUAAGCGGGAAACUUGCCUCAAGAUGAGAUCUCACUGGGAACUUGAUUCCCCUGAAGGGCCGUCGAAGACUACGACGUUGAUAGGCUGGGUGUGUAAGCGUUGUGAGGCGUUGAGCUAACCAGUACUAAUUGCCCGUGAGGCUUGACCAU
rnacentral:rRNA from 1 species